rnacentral:rRNA from 1 species
AUUGAACGCUGGCGGCAGGCCUAACACAUGCAAGUCGAACGAGUGGCGGACGGGUGAGUAAUGUCUGGGAAACUGCCCGAUGGAGGGGGAUAACUACUGGAAACGGUAGCUAAUACCGCAUACCAUCGGAUGUGCCCAGCUGGGAUUAGCUAGUAGGUGGGGUAACGGCUAACCUAGGCGACGAUCCCUAGAUGGUCUGAGAGGAUGACCGGCCACACUGGAACUGCGACACGGUCCAGACGCCUACGGUAGGCAGCAGUGGGGAAUAUUGCACAAUGGGCGCAAGCCUGAUGCAUCCAUGCCGCGUGUAUGAAGAAGGCCUUCGGGUUGUAAAGUACUUUCAGCGGGGAGGCGUUACCCGCAGAAGAAGCACCGGCUAACUCCGUGCCAGCAGCCGCGGUAAUAC